AUGUUAUGUUAUGUACUUAGUAUCCAUACGACCAUACUGUCUCCUGCCCUUCUCCCUCUCUUCACUUGCUCUGUGUGUGCCGGCCGGCAACCCGCCCCCCGCAGCCUCGAGCUCCUCCUCUCCUGCGGCGGCGAUCUCAUGGCUCACCACACGACGCUCCGGUGGAAUGCAUUUGCCGAAGGUACUCCGCUAUGGGAUGUUGAUCCGGUCCCUGGUGAGCUGGUUGUUGGUUUAAAUAGAGACAUGUACUACAUGCCACCAGGUGAUACUCUGGUCUCUGCUUCAGGCGUCAUGGCAGAGACGCCAAAGACAUUGGGCUACAUCUUGGGGGAGGAAAUCUGGAGUUUUCUCAUGGGGUGGGAUGAACAUGAUCCUGUUGUUGAUGCUCUCUCGAGCCCGCCGUCACAGGCGCUGGAUCUCCGGUGA
rnacentral:rRNA from 1 species